GGUUCAAAGCAGGCUCUCGAGCCUGGAUAAUGUUGCAUGGAAUAAUGGAAUAGGACCUCGGUUCUAUUUUGUUGGUUUUCGGAGCGCGAGGUAAUGAUUAAGAGGGACAGACGGGGGCAUUCGUACUGUGCCGUUAGAGGUGAAAUUCUUGGAUCGGCGCAAGACGAACGACUGCGAAAGCAUUUGCCAAGAAUGUUUUCUUUAAUCAAGAGCGAAAGUCAGAGGUUCGAAGACGAUCAGAUACCGUCCUAGUUCUGACUAUAAACGAUGCCAACUAGCGAUCGGGGGGCGUUACAUUGACGACCCCUCCGGCAGCUUACGGGAAACCAAAGUCUUUGGGUUCCGGGGGAAGUAUGGUUGCAAAGCUGAAACUUAAAGGAAUUGACGGAAGGGCACCACCAGGAGUGGAGCCUGCGGCUUAAUUUGACUCAACACGGGAAAUCUCACCCGGCCCGGACACAGUGAGGAUUGACAGAUUGAGAGCUCUUUCUUGAUUCUGUGGGUGGUGGUGCAUGGCCGUUCUUAGUUGGUGGAGCGAUUUGUCUGGUUAAUUCCGAUAACGAACGAGACUCUGGCUUGCUAAAUAGUUACGCGACCAUCCCGGUCGGCGUUUAACUUCUUAGAGGGACAAGUGGCGUUUAGCCACACGAGAUUGAGCAAUAACAGGUCUGUGAUGCC
rnacentral:ncRNA from 1 species